CGUAGGGGCGAGCGUUGUCCGGAAGUUAUUGGGCGUAAAAGACGCGCGUAGGCGGCUGGUUAAGUCCUGUGUGAAGACCACGGCUCAACCGUGGGGUGCGACGGGAAACUGGCCGGCUUGAGUGCAGGAGAGGGGAGCGGAUUCCCGGUGUAGCGGUGGAAUGCGUAGAGAUCGGGAGGAACACCAGUGGCGAAGGCGGCUCCCUGGCCUGUAACUGACGCUGAGGCGCGAAAGCGUGGGGGAGCGAACAGGAUU
rnacentral:rRNA from 1 species